rnacentral:rRNA from 1 species
GACUCCAUGAAGCUGGAUUCGCUAGUAAUCGCGCAUCAGCCACGGCGCGGUGAAUACGUUCCCGGGCCUUGUACACACCGCCCGUCAAGCCAUGGAAGCCGGGAGUGCCUGAAGUACGCGACCGCAAGGAGCGUCCUAAGGUAAAACCGGUGACUGGGGCUAAGUCGUAACAAGGUAAC